GACGAACGCUGGCGGCGUGCUUAACACAUGCAAGUCGAACGGUUAAGCGCCUUCCUUUUUGGUGGGUGUGGAUGAGUGGCGAACGGGUGAGUAACACGUGAGUAACCUGCCCCCUUCUUCUGGAUAACCGCAUGAAAGUGUGGCUAAUACGGGAUAUUCUGGGUCUGUCGCAUGAUGGGUCUGGGAAAGAUAUUGUUUCGGUGGGGGAUGGGCUCGCGGCCUAUCAGCUUGUUGGUGGGGUGAUGGCCUACCAAGGCGGUGACGGGUAGCCGGCCUGAGAGGGUGGACGGUCACACUGGGACUGAGAAACGGCCCAGACUCCUACGGGAGGCAGCAGUGGGGAAUAUUGCACAAUGGGCGCAAGCCUGAUGCAGCGACGCCGCGUGAGGGAUGGAGGCCUUCGGGUUGUGAACCUCUUUCGCCAGUGAAGCAGGCCUGCCUCGUUUGUGGGUGGGUUGACGGUAGCUGGAUAAGAAGCGCCGGCUAACUACGUG
rnacentral:rRNA from 1 species